rnacentral:rRNA from 1 species
AACGAACGCUGGCGGCAUGCCUAACACAUGCAAGUCGAACGAGACCUUCGGGUCUAGUGGCGCACGGGUGCGUAACGCGUGGGAACCUGCCUUUAGGUUCGGAAUAACUCAGAGAAAUUUGAGCUAAUGCCGGAUGAUGUCUUCGGACCAAAGAUUUAUCGCCUUUAGAUGGGCCCGCGUUGGAUUAGCUAGUUGGUGGGGUAAAGGCCUACCAAGGCGACGAUCCAUAGCUGGUCUGAGAGGAUGAUCAGCCACACUGGGACUGAGACACGGCCCAGACUCCUACGGGAGGCAGCAGUGGGGAAUAUUGGACAAUGGGCGAAAGCCUGAUCCAGCAAUGCCGCGUGAGUGAUGAAGGCCUUAGGGUUGUAAAGCUCUUUUACCCGAGAUGAUAAUGACAGUAGCGGGAGAAUAAGCUCCGGCUAACUCCGUG